UACGGGGGGGGGCAAGCGUUGUUCGGAAUUACUGGGCGUAAAGGGCUCGUAGGCGGCCAACUAAGUCACACGUGAAAUCCCACGGCUCAACCGUGGAACUGCGUCGUGAGACUGGAUGGCUUGAGUUUGGGAGAGGAAUGCGGAAUUCCAGGUGUAGCGGUGAAAUGCGUAGAUAUCGGAGGAACACCGGUGGCGAAGGCGGCAUCUGGACCAAUACUGACGCUGAGGAA
rnacentral:rRNA from 1 species